UAUGGCACUGGAUCUAAGGAAGAGGUGAGGUUUGCUUUCUUUGUUUCCUCCUGUUUGGUUCCCGAGAAAGUGAGGAGCACACUGACGGAAAAUUGAACUUUUCAGUCUUUUUAGGGGGUUUUCAAAUGCUUGAGCAGUCUCUUUCGAGUUCUGCUUGCGUGUGAAUUCAUUGACAGUGAUGUAGAAGUCGGACUUGUCAUCUUAGGUUUUUUGAAACGCAUGAAGAUUUGCAUUUAGUUCCAUUGGGGCGUU
rnacentral:misc_RNA from 1 species